UUGGGGAGGGAAUGAGGAGAAACGUCCGUCAGAAAAAUGCGCGCGACAACAGCGAAGUGAAACGACACGCGCCACUCUACAAGUGCUCUCAAGCUUUUCUGAGGCGCGAAAAACACUCGCCUUUCUGAGGGGACAAACAUGACCGUGGUGCCCGGGGAGAACCUCGACGAGACUGUGGCACUAACAGUUCUCUCUCAAGAUGUGUAUGAACCCGAACGAGCUGACCAGGAGUGCUGUGAGCGGGUGGUCAUCAACAUCUCGGGGCUCCGCUUCGAAACCCAACUGAAGACCUUGGCGCAAUUCCCGUCCACCUUACUCGGCGACCCCAGGAAAAGAAUGCGCUUCUUCGACCCUCUGAGGAACGAGUACUUCUUUGACAGAAACCGACCCAGUUUUGACGCCAUCCUUUACUUCUAUCAGUCUGGAGGCAGGUUACGGAGACCCGUCAACGUUCCAGUUGACAUCUUUAUGGAGGAGAUUAAAUUCUACGAGUUGGGAGAAGAAGUAAUUGAGAAUUUUAAUGAGGAUGAGGGAUUCAUUAAGGAGGAAGAGCGACCUUUGCCAGAAAACGAGUUCCAGCGGCAGGUCUGGCUCUUGUUCGAGUACCCGGAGAGCUCUGGACCAGCGAGGGGUAUCGCGAUAGUGUCCGUGCUCGUCAUUUUGAUCUCAAUCGUCAUCUUUUGCUUGGAGACUUUACCAGAGUUUAGAGAAGAUGGAAAAAUGCACCAGGAGCACCUCGCGACUAACGGAACUGUUGGACCCAAGAAGUCAAAUCCCUUCACAGACCCCUUCUUCAUUGUGGAGACCCUUUGUAUAAUUUGGUUCUCCUUUGAAUUGUUGGUGCGGUUUCUCGCGUGCCCGAGCAAGCCCGCCUUUUUCAAGAACAUCAUGAACACGAUCGACAUCGUGGCGAUUAUUCCCUACUUCAUCACCUUGGGUCUGGAGUUGGCCGAGCAUCAGGGCAACGGGCAGCAAGCCAUGUCGCUGGCCAUCCUGAGGGUCAUUCGUUUGGUGCGGGUGUUCCGCAUCUUCAAGCUCUCCAGACACUCCAAGGGGCUCCAGAUCUUGGGGAAGACCCUACAAGCGAGUAUGCGGGAACUCGGUCUUCUCAUAUUCUUCCUUUUCAUUGGAGUUAUACUAUUCUCCAGUGCCGUCUACUUCGCCGAGACAGACGACCCCGACUCGGGGUUCAGCAGCAUCCCCGAUGCCUUCUGGUGGGCAGUGGUUUCCAUGACAACUGUGGGCUACGGGGACAUGUGCCCAGUCACCAUAGGUGGCAAAAUUGUGGGCUCUUUAUGUGCCAUCGCUGGCGUGCUCACUAUUGCUCUCCCGGUGCCCGUCAUCGUGUCCAAUUUCAAUUACUUUUACCACCGGGAGACCGAGCACGAGGAGCAGUUACAGUACACGCAUGUAAAAUGUGGCCAGGAGCAACCAUCGUUUGGCGAAUUUAAAAGGAACGACAGCAAAACAUCCCUCUCGCAAUCAGAUUCAGAGGAUGGAGAUUCGGUGAAGUACACCAACUGCAGCCUCGAUAAAGCGUGUACAGAGAAACUUACCGAUGUAUGAAUGUGGACAAACACAACCAAAGAAACGCACUUUUCUCUGUGAGUACAUCCUCAUCACUCGCUCUGGCUUGAGUAGGCUAGAUGUCUAAUAACCGUGAGGAACACUUUAUUAGUAAAGGAUAACAGUAUAUUUAAUGUGCGUUUAUUUUCGAAACUGUCUUGCGUUGUUGUGAUCGUCGAUCAUCGGAGCGCGCAGACAUAAAACGAAACUGUAUCUAGCCGCAAAGAAAUACAAAUUAAAAAUAGAAAAGAUAGGUACGUAUAUUAUAAACAAGCCCUAUGAAAUAGAUGUGUAGCACUUUAUUCAUGUAGGUUUAAUUAACAAAAUUCGUUGAUUUCUUUAUUUUUUGCGAAUUCGACAGCUGUGCGAUAAUGAAGUUUACUUUCAAGUUGCUUAUUUGGAGAGAGAUAUUAGGACCAAUAAUUAUAAUUUGUAUUCGAUUGUUUGUUUGUUUGAUGAGGAUGACAAUUGCAAGGUCAUUUGGAAAAACGACUUGCACCAGCAAUGGCAUUUAAUUCUAUUAGCUAUGUGGUGUAGAUAUUAAUUUUUAUAUUAAGAAAUGCUUUAUUUUUUUCAAGAAGAUCGGUAGAAUAGCGACCCAGCAUUAUACUGCAAUAUAUUUCAUUUUUACGGUUGUCAUAACUGUUUCUGCAGUGACAACAAUGCAUUUUGCAGCAUUGAAAUAAUAUUUUCAGGUUGUGGCUUCUUCAAAUAUUGAUGCAUUUUUAGCACUAAGUAGAAGCAAAGACAGAGCACUGAAGGGCUGCAUCUUUGCUGAUCAGCUGUGAGUUUGAGAAGAACUUCAUAUUAUCAACAGAUGUGUAAGGGAAGAAUGAAUGAACAGGUUGGCGCCUAAAUCGGAGUAAUGCCAUUUUUAGAUCCAAUAGUGACAUCUAGUGGAGGAGGCUGAAAAUGCAAGAUGAAAAUGUGUUUCCAUAGCAACCUUCCAGACUAUUCUCGAGACAUUAGGCAAUAUGUAGUUAAAUGUGUUCACAAGUAAGAUUGUUGCAGGUGCUUAUAUUCUAAACAAAAUACAUUCUUCCAUAAAUUCAGCAAUAUAUUUAGCGCCAGGCAUUUCGAUGAAAUGUUAGCCUAUUAGUCGGCCUAGUUUAAAUCAAUAAAUCCGGAAAGGCUCCUUCAAAACAUCACAGGGGAUAAAAUACAGUGUAAUAAUAAUUAUAUAUACACACACACACACACACACACACACACACACACACACACACACACACACACACACACACACACACACACAAGCCACUCCAAUCAAAAAGCAGCAAAUAAAAAUAGAGAAACAUCAGUAUUUCUGCUCUGCACCAACGUCAGGAGGACAUCAUGAGUAUGGCACAAAAAAGGAUUCAUUGUGACGUCACGGCCAGGAGGGAAAACCUCGGCCGCCUAUUGGCUGGAUUAGGAGAAUCAAUACUGCAGAUAAUUCCUGCAAUGUCAAUAAUGGAAUAACUAAACGUGAAAGCAAAGAUUUCCAGCCAUACGACGUCAACUACCUCCACAAACUUUCAGUUCUUUUAAAUGGAUUGUCAGCUUAACAUGAAGGAUUUGUGCAGGAUGAGGUGCAGUUAUGAAUAUGGGCAUCUGAUAUUAUGCAGAAUAUCAUCAAGGAUAAUAUGAGCGUUCAGCAAAGCAGCACCACACAAACUACACGCUCACAUCUAAUGUAUGGACGUCGACAUUUUAAAGAGCAUUCAUUCUUUUUCUCUUUGAGAUGUACGCCUCAAAUGAGUUUGAUGAGGGAUUGUUUUGUCAAAUGUGGAAUCUAACAGAGGAAACAUGGACAACGGGGUUCUAUGGUAAAUAUAAAGAUGCUUUUAAACUUGAAUUCACAGAUGACAUGCACAAAAAAAUGUGUGAGAUGCUUCCCUUUGUUUAUUUGCUCAAAACAAAAACAUGCUAUUGGGAUGUCUUCAUACCAGCCUAAUAUACGUAUUAUGUUGAAACGUUACAUAUCAUGUGCUAUACCAAAACAUAUUAUGGUAUGUGUGGAAAGCUGGCCAUGGAAUAAAUCUUGAUUAUUAUUAUUUUUAAUAAUUAUUGUUUUUACAAACAAACUCAAAAGUACAUGAAAUCAGUCAUAUAAAAUGGGAGCAAUGACAGCAUAUAUCAAUCAUGAUAAAUUACUUGACCGUUUAGGUUAACAUUGUAAAAUAUCUAUUUUUUUAAAGUAUCAUAGUUUUUAUAUAAAAAUGGAAUCUGUUAAACUGGUGUAAGGUUAUUUUUGUAGCUUUUUGAAAUUUUGCUAAAUGAUUUUCAGUUUUCUGUAUUUCACUCAGUUUAUUUUGCCUACAGUGAAAAGAAUCAAAAUGUAAAAUACUCAUUUUAUGAUUCUGAAUUACAGCACCUUUCCACAUCGGAUGAAUUAUGCAGUAGAAAUGUUUGUGUCUUUGUUUAUUUAUUUUACAAUCAUUGAUAUAGUUUCAGAAUCAUUUAUCACCCGUCAUUGAAAGCAUCUACCUCACUGUCCCGUUUGGCUGUUUUACUGCAUUUUACCUCACUGUGUUGAGUUACAUCAAGCACAUCACAGGCCUUAUUUCUGGAAGCAGCUUGAACACAUGUCAUGGUUUUCCUCAUAACUGUAAGCAGUGCUCCAUGUGCGGUGAUCUGGCUGUGUACAUUCUGUAAAAGGGCAGAAAAAUAUAAAUAAUACUGACUGAUAAUGUAAUGAAAAGUCUCAAUAUGCCCCAAUACAGAAUUAAAGGUAUUGACAAUGUAUUUUCCCUCAUGAAAUGUUUUCUGUAAUGUGGUGAUAUGUAAGACAGUGGUUCGCACUGAACAUUGUUUUUUUUUUUUUUACCCAAAUUAUACAUUGGAUAUCAAGUGGCGACCCAUCACACUUUAGCAUAUUUAGGCCGAAUAUUGGCGGUUGCAAUGCAUGAGACAAAGAGUUUCAAUGUUAAUGAUACUUGAGAGAUCAUUUUAUGGCAGUAGAAUUCUCUAGUAAAAGUGUAUAUAAAAUAAUGUCCCAUUUUAAGUAAAAUGCUUGUGUUCAACAGGUAUUCAUGAUCACGCCUGUUCACAAGCACAAAUGUACUGCAUCAAGCCCCUGAAAACAGAACUUUUCCUAACAUUCAUCUUUAUUACAUGUUCGCUUAUAUCACAUAGAAACAAAUGUCUGUGUCUUAUGUCAAAUUAAUGUCCAUCAUUCAUUUAUCAUCAGUACAUUAUUGUUAAACAAACUCCAAUUGUGUAUGUUGUUGUGCGAGAGGAAGUUUUCCAUGAGAAAUCAAGAUGAUUUUACUUUAUAAUGAUUUCAGCACUGUUAUUAUUUUCUGAUUAAUACAAAAGUGUAUCAUCUUCUCUCAGCACUUAGAUUGGACAUUACUGUUAAAUAACAUUGUGUGGUCCAGAGCCGUGUUGGGAAACUGCAGUUUCAAUUAAAAGAUUUGCUGAUUUGUUUCAGGCAUCACUCAAAAGUUUCCCUGAAAACCCUGCACAGCUUUUUUUGUACAUGUUUUCGAUUAUGGUACUGUGGUAUGGUAUAGAUUGAUUCAAAUAUGGUUUAUAAUGUCACCCACCUGACAGGUUUACUCAUAAACAAAGGCUAUGUUCAGAAUAAUCUUACUGAAUCGCUAAAAAUAACUGACUCAAAAGAAUGAUUCGCUUGUGAAUCAGACAUUGCUAUUACUAGAAGGAUUGGCAUAGACAUUAUUAAUGAUGUUUUAUUUGAUUUUUUAUCAGACCUGAUCUUUAAAAAAUUUCUUAUUAAUGCUAUCAUUUGUAGCAUAUGUGCUGCUGUAGACCUUGGAGAGAAGAAUUAUUCCAAAAUGUUUAUCGUGCACAUAGGCAUAGGUGUUGAGUUUACUGAACAUACAAGGGUAAAGAAACAGCUCAUCUCUCCCACAGUGGAUGUUUUAUCAGUUAUAAUGUCACCAAACUGUAAUGCCUCCAGUAACUGACUGAUCCACCUAAUAGGAGAGCCCUUGGUCGAGGAGACCGUGGGCCAUUUGUAAUUUCUUCAAUCACACUCAGAGUAGUAUAUAUAUAUUUCGCAAUAUAUUUUCAUAAAUGUUCCAUCAUAUGGCUCGUGAGUGUCAAAUACAUCUACUCACAUAUGAAAUUACACUGUUGCCUACUAAGUAUACUGUGCAAAACUAGGAUAGAAACUGUAUGUGCGUAUCUAACAUGUUCCUUUAAUACCACCUUGUUAAUCAAGUGGUUUAUUCAAAUGCAGGGAAAUGAUUCUUAUGCUGAUCAUUGAUGAAUACUGCUGUGAGAAAUGAUCAAACAGUGUUGCACAUUUAGUUUCUGUCUAGAUGUUUCUUGUUCAUAGUAAGCAAUAAUGCAUGAUAAAUCUGUUGCUUUGCACAUGGUUAACUGGUUGUUCAUAUAAAUAUAUUUCUUUAAUAGUGCCUUGUAUCACAUGAAUGGAUAUGCUAACCCUUCUAGAUCAUGUAUAUUGAGAAGAUAACGUCACUGAAGCGAUGUGAUUCUUUCUGUAAUAUGAAUGUAAUGCACUCAGUCUUCCUUGAAUUGGAUUGUUCCUUAUUUACACAAAUGUUAACAUCUCAUGUCUUAGAUCCCCAUGUUUCAAUUUAUGCCACAAUUUGUGUCUUUAAUUGGGUCUUUAACUUUGAUUUACCUGCACAAAAAGUGAAUUAAUGAAUCACAGCAAAAUGCAAGUGUACAAACCAUGACAUCUAUCUUAUCUUAUUUAGUUUCAAAAGUAACAAAAUAUGGUAACACUUUACUGUAAAAUUGGAUUGGGAUUUGAUUGAAUUAGGUAUCAAGAAUGGAUUUGAUUAGGUAUCAUGAACUAACAAUGCAAAAUCAUUUUUCGUUAAUGUUACUGUUUAUAUAGACAGAAAUAUACUACUGUUUCAUUUUUUUCAUUUUUUUGUGAAUUUUCCCCUAAUGUUAAAAAUGUUUUAGUAUAUAAUUAACA